rnacentral:lncRNA from 1 species
AAACCCCUUUUCGUACUUUGCCAAAAUCCUGUAUCUGCUGCAAAUCUGGGGAUUUCAUUUCCUAAAUUAGGAGAAAUUUAGAGCAAAUUGCGGUAAUGAGUUAAUUUGGUAAAAGAAGAAAAUUUGAGAAUAAAAGUUACACGCGCUCAGGUGUCUUUAGCGUGUCGAUUUUAUAGUCUAAGUCAAUCACGUGUUUACAACUCCUUUCAUAUAAGCUGUUAAGUGUUUACGUGUUAUGUAAUUAUCGAAUUCAGGUAUUUAAUGGGUCAAACCUAAAAUAUGAGAGACUAUCUGACUAAAUGUAAUAAGUACAAGUGUUUGCAUAUGUAUUAAGUCAAUAUGAUAAACGGUAAUAUAUAGUGAUAAAAUUUGUAUAAAAAUAGAACACUGAAAGAUUACAAAAUAUUUAUAUUAAAAGAAUUGAACUUUAAUUGUUAAAGAAAAAAAUUAAAAGAAGUAUAAUAUCAGAUAUACAAUAAUGAUGUCUUUAGUUUUUUGUUUAGGUGUAUCCUUUUGUUUUUCAUCAACUAUGGAAAGAUAAAGGGAGUGUUCCAAUAUGUAGGAUUUUAGUUUAGUUCAACAUCAACAUAUGCAUCGUAGUUUUCUUUUUUAUUAUAAUUAAUUAACUGGCUCAUGAGAUUUAUAUUAAUAUGAUUUUUAUAGAAAAAUAUAUAAGAACAUUUUAAAUAAUAUCAAACAAAACAAACUCAAUAAUAAUUAAAGCUAGUAGGUGAUUAUAUAUAAUAAAUGGUAGUAUGUAGUGAUAAAAUUUGUAUAGAAAUAGAACACUAAAAAUUAUAAGACAUAUUUAUUAAAAGGAUUAAAAUCUUAACUGUUAAAAGAAAAAAAAAAUUAAAAAAUAUAAACUUUUAAAAAUAGGAUACACGUUUAGAAUGGUUUUAAGAUUGGUAUAGGCUCAGGGUAAAUUUGAUCUUUAAAUUAUAUUUUAAACUUCAAAUUGACCUAAAAUCUUCUUUCUUUGAAUUCAGCCUCAUACUUUCUAUUAAUAAUAAUUAAUUAGAAACAAACAUGUAAUGAUAUGCUUGGAAGAAUAAGAUUUUAUGUAAAAAUUUAAAGGGCUUCAUAAUUUGUGUUACUAAGAUUAGUCGAUUUAAUAUAAUUUAAUAAUAAAUAUAAUAAAUGGUAGUAUAUAGUGAUAAAAAUGUAUAGAAAUAGGAUACUAAAAUAUUAAAAAUAUUGAAUUAUUAAUUUUUUAAAAAUUUAGUGUGCAACUACAUUAAUGGUGACACUUAAUAUUAUGUAAAUUAUUUUUAAAGGUUAUAUAAAUUAUUUUUAAUAUUCAAAUUCUUUGAUUUUAAAUCAAUAUACUGUUACAAUUUUUGGGAAUCUUGAUUUUUGUAAUAAUAUAUUAAAUUUGUUAAUUGCUAGCUAUAAAAAUAAUUACUAUAAAUUUUAUGAGGUAUAAAUAGAUUAAUUUGUAGAUGAAUUUACUAUUAUUUAAAAAAAUCAUUAUUUUAACACUAAAAAAGUUUAUGAUAAUAACUUUAAAAAUAUAUAUAAUAUUUUAUUUUUAAGUAAUUAAUAUUUACAUGCAAUGCAAAUAAAUAAAAAAAUCUACUUUUUUCGUCGCAAAAAUAGUUAACUUUUAAUUUAUAUGUGGAUUAAAAUUUUAUUAAAUUUAUCAAUAAGAUAUUAAAGCUAGAAUAUUAAUUUAUUGGUCAAAGAACAAAAAUGAGAAUGCUACUGAUUGAAAAUGAAAAAAGAAAAUAUUAAACUAAAAAAAAAAUUGAUGUUUCUAAUUUUUAAUAAUUAUAAGUCCCACAUGGUAAUAAUAAAUACGAGUACUAUAAGUUAAUUCACUGUAUUUUUAUAUUUUAAUCAACUAACUAAUUUAUUUUAAGUAUAUUAUUUUUAAUAUAUAAAUAAUUACUUUUAUUCUUUAUGGCAUUUCGAAUAAUUUGAUUAUGGUAAAUCAUAAUAGUUGUAUUUAUAUGAUAUUAUGUUUAUAUGAAUAUAUGAAUGUAAAUAUAUUAGU